GAUGAAGAACGUAGCGAACGUGCGAAACGUAAUGUGAAUUGCAGAAUUCAGUGAAUCAUCGAAUCUUUGAACGCAUCUUGCGCUCCUUGGUAUUCCGAGGAGCAUGCCUGUUUGAGUGUCGUGAAUACUCUCAACUUCAACCCUUUUUUCGGAAAGGGAGGAAGGUUGGACUUGGGUGUUUGUUGAAGUGCGAGCUUCGACUCAUCCUAAAUGCAUUAGCGAUCUGCCUCGAUCACACACAAUGUGAUAAUUAAAACUAAAGCAUUGUUUAAUGAUCAAGUCGAGACUGCUUCUAACUGUCGCAAGACAAUAACGUGCAGACAUUUGUGCAUGUCAUUUGACCUCAAAUCAGGUAGGACUACCCGCUGAACUUAAGCAUAUCAAUAAGCGGAGGA
rnacentral:misc_RNA from 1 species